UUAGUUAAGGUUACUCGAUUUUGGGAAUAGUGUGUAAAGUUUAAUGUAUAAACAAUUUAUGUUUAUAUCUUCCGCAACAGUUAUAGAAUUAGUGAACCGGAUCCAAGGCGGAUUCCGGGGACACUACAGCACGUACACAUGCAACUCCCCCCUCUAUAAAUAGAGGGCUUGGGGUGGCCAUUCUGCAUAAGAAAAUGGCGAGGAAGCCCUGUCUAAUUUGCUCUGUACACACUAUAAAUUGAGUGCUUUCUCAUUUCAAACACUUGUGAGCUUAUAUAUUGGCUACUUUUUAUCGGUGGGAACCGAGUGUUCAUCCGUUUAAAGCUAUUGAAGUCUUCUUUAGCAGUCCAUUGUAAGCCUUCUUGCUUUAUUUAAAGCAUUUUCUUA
rnacentral:lncRNA from 1 species